UUUUAAAAAACCUGAGUAAUACUAUUAUGUUCAUUGUAGAUAAGAAAAGGGCAUCACUUUGCAUUAUUUGUUUUAUUAUUUUCUAUGUGUUUUGUUCCGGACCAUAUUUAUUUAAACAAAAACCGUAUGGUCAUGACCAUAUGCUUAUAAACUACAAUGGUCCGACCAAACGCAUAUCGUCUGGGUAAUACAUUCGAUGAACGUUAAGCAAUAGGACAUAACCUCACAGGUGUCACAAAUUAGGUGUGUCUAUAAAAUGAAAUGUGUUUCGGCCUAUUAAUAACCAUACGAUUAUAUACUCAAAUGGUCCUGAACAUACGCGUUCGGUCCAAUUACUCAUAUGGUCCAAAACACAUAUAUCAAACAGAACAUCUAUCAUGUUUUUUAUACAAAGAUAUUUCUAUCUUUUGAUGUUUUAGUUUUGGUAACGUAUCUUUGCAAUAAUGUGUUUUUGGACGAAACAAAACAUAGCAUUAUGCGUUAUGGUUAAAAUUACUAUAUUCCUAGAUACAAUUUUAAAAAUUGAACCUCUUCAAGAAAAUACUCGUUAAAAAAAUCU
rnacentral:lncRNA from 1 species